GAUGAAGAACGCAGCGAAAUGCGAUAAGUAAUGUGAAUUGCAGAAUUCAGUGAAUCAUCGAAUCUUUGAACGCACAUUGCGCCCCCUGGUAUUCCGGGGGGCAUGCCUGUUCGAGCGUCAUUUCACCACUCAAGCCUCGCUUGGUAUUGGGCAACGCGGCCCGCCGCGUGCCUCAAAUCGACCGGCUGGGUCUUCUGUCCCCUAAGCGUUGUGGAAACUAUUCGCUAAAGGGUGUUCGGGAGGCUACGCCGUAAAACAACCCCAUUUCUAAGGUUGACCUCGGAUCAGGUAGGGAUACCCGCUGAACUUAAGCAUAUCAAUAAGCGGAGGA
rnacentral:misc_RNA from 1 species